CUUAUAGUAACCUUUACCAGGAAUUUGUAAGAAAUCGGCUAAACCUGUGCUGAGAUGAGGUGUGAAGUGAGCAACAGUGAGAAAAGAGCCACACAGAGGAAAGACAGUACCAGGAGCCAGUGUUGGGACUCUUCAUCCUGGUGGUCUGAAGUGGUGAAGGUAGCAGUGCAGUGGUACCAGUGCAGGUGUCAGGCAGCCUGCAGUCAAGUUUGAUCUGAGCAGGCUUGUCACUCAGAGGGGCUCUUUGUCACCUGUCCCUUUGACGUACUGGGCAGCCAUGCAUUUACAGUCAGUACCUGCUUUAUACCCAGACCUGAAUGGAUGACAAAAGCAUCUCCUUAGGCCGCUUGUUUUGUAUCCAUGUGCGUUCAUUGCAGUCUCCAAUUUUUUCUGGCUGUAUUACUCGUAGGGUUAAUGAUGCUCUCAGAGUCCUGGUGCUUUGAGCAGAAGGUGCAGGAGAAAGGGGACAUGGAAAGAAAAAACACAGUUUCCCUUGGAGCAACUUCUGCACUGUGGAAAAAAAAAAAAAAAGAUGUGCCGGUGGUGAGUUUUAACCUGGUGAGACCUGCAGGAGUGUUGAUGUAUGCAGUUUGUAGCUUUUGCUGCUACAGUCCCAACAGGCAGCUUGGAUAUUUGGGUUGGAUUGUUUGUCCACACAGAGGUCUGCAUUGUUGUGUCUUUGCUGGCAAGUGGGUGCUAAAUGAAAGCUGUUCUGGACAUGAUUAGUCAUAUUUGAGGAACACCUUAAUUUGCAAUGUAUGUGUUGCCCACUGCCUGGAAAAAAACUGUGCUGCUUGCACAUUGCUUAUCGCUUGGAAUGUGCUGAAUGACUUCUGCUCUGAGGGUGUAUCUUCUGUGAUUGGUAUAACCUGUUAAGUAUGUAAUGUUAUAUAGUAAGCAUUAAUGCUCAUCUUAGAAUCCCAGUGGAACAGCUUUUUUCCUUUAUGGCUUGCAUUUAAUCAGCGACAGCUGCGUACAUGGAAGAACUUCUUCCCCUUCAACUGUGACUCGUCAUGGUAUACUUGCAGAUCCACUUGUGAGGUGCUGGUGUGGAUUGUUUAGGAGGCCAUGAGCAUUGUGGAAAAGUCAAAACAAACAUGUUGCUCUUUCACUCUGAGACAGUGUUAGUCAAUGCUCUCUCUUUUUUUUUUAUAAUAGAGCAGCCACCUGACCCUUUGUGAGGGAGUAAAUUGAGAGACAAUGUAGUAUUGUAGCAGCUUUCAUCUGUUAUCUAAGAGAACCUGCACUAUACUUUGAAUGUUCACCUGCUGUUCAUGUUUUACCUCAUUAUGUCUGUUCUCAUGUGUUCUUAUAACACUUCUUGGUGUGUGUUCUUCCCAUGGUUUAGCAGCUGUCUGCCAACAGUGGGCUGAGGAAACCCCUCCAAGUGGCUGUCUGACAAGGACAUAUAUAAGUAUGUCUGAGAAGAGGAAAAACUAAUAAUCUCUGUGUACUAACAUUUUUGCUUGAUGUUUAUUUUUAGCAAAAGCACAGUCAGAGCUUUCCCAAGGACUACUUUGGUGCUGUGUGAACAGUCUUCCAGUUUGUUGACAGAAGUACAUUUGCUUCAUCAAAGAUAAACUUCUGUGUAGCUGUGAACAUCUGGAUUGUCCAUCUUUUCCACUGACAAAAGAUGGGAUUUUUUUUUCUGCUAUGGUGGACAAAGAGUUGAGCUCAGGUAGGGCUGUAUUUUGACAAUGGGGCAAUUGACGGAUGAUGCAGCUUUUAACUUUUAACCAUGGAGGUAUGGCACAGCUGUAACUUCCGAUUCAUGGACUUCUAAUGGGAUUCAUAAGACUUUACAGGAUUCCAGAAUAGGAUGGGCUGUCUACGCAAGCUCUACUGUAUAGUGAGUGACUGGAGGCUUGUGCUGUGUGCCAGCUUACUACACCACUUAACAAAACCAGCUCACAUGGCUUGCUCCUCUUCUAGAUACAAGAUGUUAAAAGGACAGGUCUCUGCAAGGGCCUAUGUGUUACCGAUAGGAAGGUGAUUUUGUGACAUUUGGCCAAAUAACAGGAGUUUGCAAUAUGCGUAGUGAAACCACAAAGGAAAACGAUUUUUGUAAUUGUAUGGUCAGGACUCAAAAACGGCAUUCUGGGUGCAAGGACUGGACCUUAGUCUCUAUGAAAUCAAAGCAGAUAAAUGAACCUCUACAAAUUAUGCAUUUACCCGUGGGGUUAGGGUGAAAUCGGUAUCAUUCUACCACUUGCAUUACUGAUAAGAGGCUCUAAGCACAUAGCUGGUGGUGUUGUACGCUCCUUUUGCAGUAUUGAGAUUUCCCUUAUCUCCUUUCUCACACCACAGCAGCGGGAUGAACCACACUUCACUGUUUUGCUAAAAUGACUUCCAGAGCGAGGCAGUUGCUGUGGUUGGAUGGAUAAUACAUUUCUGAAGUGUCACUCACUGGAUUAUGAGCAUGAAUAAUGUCUAUCUUGUGUCUGGUGCUGUUGUGCUUUACUUGGAGAGACAGUAAGCUUUACUCAGUGUUUGUGACUGCCAGUGAAGUCUAUUCUCUAGUUGUUUACUGGAGAGGGAAGUUCUGGUAGCCUGGCUCAGCCAGCAGGUAUUAACUCAAGGACCAGUGCAGGCAAUCUGAUUCCUUGCUGUUUGAACAGGAUAUGUACAGGAUGUGGAUUAAAAAACAUUGUGAACAGCAAGUGAACGAGGUACUGUAUACUGUGAUGUGUACCUGCUGUGAAAGUAGAUAAAAUACUGAAAAUGUUCCAGGAAAAAUAAAAUGAUAAAGUUCAUGUUAAUGGUGCUAAGAUAUGAAAUGGAUAGAAGCAUGGUACCCAGUUUGGAUUUGGGAAGCUGACUUCCUCCAAGCAACACUUAUCAUGAAAGAUUCUGAUGCUAUGGACAGUCAUAGGGAGCUAUUGCCACUUCUGCCCAGACUGACAAGGAGAGCAGAAUAUUCUGUUGCCAGCAGCAUGCUACUUGCUUAGUCUUGGGUUUUUUGGUUUGUGGGUUUUUUUUUUUAGUUUAAUGAAGAUUGGUGACUGUCAGUGUAGACAAAACCUGUAUUUCUAUUUCCUAAAUUUUUAAAGAGUUGAAGCAUCCUCUUCUCUAUGUACCUACAGCCAAUCCAAACUGAAGAGAGAACUCCUGUGAAAACCUUUUUCCUGUGACUUCAUACUCCCCCACUAAGUUUUGGUCUUUUCUCCUCUGUCUCUUUCAGAUCCUUUUGGCUGUUGAGUUUCUGCACAAGGGAGUCAGUUUCUUAGAAAAUAGGUAGCUAUGCAGAAGGACAAGGAAAAUGGAGUACUUAAACCUGCUGGCCUGUGUGAAGAACACAUCAAAGGUUACCGCUCUGAUCCCUGUAAUCCAAGAAAACUGAAUAAAAGGUUUUUCAGUGCAGUUGUGAUAUGGGUAUUCAUCCUAGUGGUGCUUCCUGUUGCCCACACCUUAAUUCUCUGAGGAGUACUGAGACUGAGUUUCUUUGCACUUAACUAUGCUUUCAUUUAGUCUGGGAGGCAGGAAGUACUUUCUCUUUCUUGACAAUUUCUAGCAGCUUUAUCCCAGCUUCCUCAGACUUUUGGGUGGAGUAGAGUCCUGAUUAAGUAUCUGUUCUUACAGACUUGUCAGCUCUGCUUCUCCACUGUUGCAGCACAACUCAGGCUUAUUUUGGAAUGCAUGGUUUCCUUGAAGCACUAGGUGAACAAUGACACAAGAGCAAGUCAGCAGUGUGGUAGAUGUCUAAUUUCCUCUCACAGGUGUGUGCUCUUUCUUGCUCUGAAUCUCUUCUUGCUACUUUAAUUGCUUUUUAGCCAAAUGAGCAAAAUAAAAGAUUUUUUUUUU